rnacentral:rRNA from 1 species
UGCCACAGCCAAAUCACCCUACAGCCCAAGACUAGUUACUCACUGAAGCUAAGCAGGGCAGAGCCUGGUUAGUUCUUGGAUGGGAGACCACAUGGGAAAAUUAGGAAGUUAGUUA